UACGGAGGAUCCGAGCGUUAUCCGGAUUUAUUGGGUUUAAAGGGUGCGUAGGCGGCCUAUUAAGUCAGGGGUGAAAGACGGUAGCUUAACUAUCGCAGCGCCUUUGAUACUGAUGGGCUUGAAUGUACUUGAGGUAGGCGGAAUGUGACAAGUAGCGGUGAAAUGCAUAGAUAUGUCACAGAACACCAAUUGCGAAGGCAGCUUACUAAAGUAUGAUUGACGCUGAGGCACGAAAGCGUGGGGAUCAAACAGG
rnacentral:rRNA from 1 species